CGCCGGGACCGACGCGCCGUGCGGAAAAGGUCGCGUCUCCGCCUGCGCCCUUGGGGUGUGGCGACAUGGUGGCGCUCGGGUUCUUUCCGUCCCGUUCGGGCCUCGCCGGGUGUGGUGUGGCCCUUGAGGCGGCUCCCCGGGCGCUGCUCCUCGGGAGAGGUGCGAGCGGCGUCGCGGUUCUGCGUUAGGGUGCCGAAGCGCGGGGCUAGGUGGAGGAAGCGGUGUUGUUUUUCUUUUUCUUUCUCCCCCCCCUCUUUGAGGAAAAGCUUCUGCUGCAGCGCAGGGCCUUGUAACUAGCCAAAACCUCUGCAAAGAACCUGGAGGCUGACUAAAAGUACUGAAGGCCAAAGAUAAGAGACUGCUUGUGCUUAACUGAUUCCUCCACCUCAUUCCAGUGGUUAAAUAGACUGACCCCUCUUAGAGAAGUUAAAAGGAAAACAAUGUCACCAGUAUGAACUAGGUAAUUGUAAGGAAGACUUGGUAUCCAGGGUCUUCUAAGGCCACUAGUACCUAGGUGGUAUUGGUAAUACCAUAAAAGGCCAAGGCUGCCUUGGUAAUGGCAUCAUCAACACCAUAUUGAGAUGUACCUAUCCAUUAGGGUAUGGCUUUAGCAGAAUUGGGGCCAAAGAGGAAAAAGUAACUUAGGGCAGAGUGUUUCUUUAGGAGGAGUUUUUGUGGAGAAAGGGAGAUACAAGGGCAGUGAAAAAAGGUUCUUCUGGAUACAGGAUAAAGAGUGAAAGAGGGCAUAUGUUAGGGGAAAUCUUCCAACAGUGGGAAUACAGAUGCCUAUGAACAAUAAUGAAGCUGAUGGGCAAGGCAGCCAGGAUGCUGGACAACUGCUUUGGGCAACCCACAAGACUCUUAACUCUGUUCCCAAAAAACUUGGUGUGGGAGAACAGUCCGAAGAGGUACAGAUAUGUACCCUUGUUCUGGGUGGUGUGGGGAGGGAAGGAUUUAAAAAAUGGUAAUUAAAUGGUAGCUGCAUGUCACUCAUACAAUUUGUGAUAAUUGUGAUAGCUUUGUAAUUCUGUGUAAUAAUGUGCAAAAAUGACAAUUGUAAAUUAAAGUGGUGUGUCUAUUAGUUAAUCAGAUUAUUAGUUAAUUGACUUAUUAGUUUCUUGGUAAUGUUUUGUUUAAUCAAUAAAAAUUGUAGUGUCUCAAAUCAUUAAAGUCUCAAACUUGCAGUCUAAAAGGGGAGAGUUGGAUCCAUGAAGUAAUAAUGACUUCCAGCCAAAGGAGGAGAGGUUAGAUUAACCAUUUCUACAUUUUGCUGCUGGAGACUACUGAAGAAAUCUGCAGAAUUUGUCAGGGCAGAUUUUCUGGGGCCCAGUGAGCAUGAAUGCUAGUAAGAGCUUGGAAAAAAGAUAUUGAUGCAGGGUGGACAGUGUCUGGAUCAAGAGGAGCUCUUGAAAGAAGAGGAUAAGAAUUUGAAAGCUAAUACAGAACAUAAAAGCAGCUGGAUGGAGCACACAGCUUAGCAGUGAGAAAAUGAGCAUAACAGAAUAUGCAUGGGGUGAGGAAGGAGACCAAAAAUGACAGGUAGAAAUGCUGGUCUCCAGAGAAGCCAUAAGCAAGUGGAAAUGAGAUGAGGAGAGAGUCAAGAAAACAACAGAUGAAGGCUGGGGAGAAAACAGUGUGGAGAUGAAUACAAACCAAAGUAAUACAAAGGAGAACUGAAAGAUUAUCUGUUCACUUCUAAGCAACUAAGAAACCUGUAAUGACAAAUGGAGAUCCUUUUCCAAAGGAAGGGCUAAAAUGAAGUGAAUGUUACAUCCGAUAUUUAGUGCUCAUUUGAGGGAGCAGGAGAUGGAUGUUUGCUCUUCAAAGUGUGAGGGGUAUUUGACUCAGUGUGUCAGGGUGGAGGAAAAAUGUGCUCUCUUUGGCCCUCUACCUUACAUGGUAGUACUUUUGGAGCAGUGGGUCCCUUGGGUGCUGGAAGUCAUAAUUUUAAGAUAGAUUCAAAUCCAGAUAGAUAAAUGCCAGUUUUCUCAGUGCUCAGCUGGAGUUGUCUUAGUGAAGCUUCAUGAUUGUAAACUUGGAACAGUUAGGUUUAUUUUGAUUUAAUAAAAUAUUGGGCCAGAA